rnacentral:rRNA from 1 species
AUUUUUUUUUUUUUUUUUUUUUUUUUUUUUAAUAAAAAAUUUUUUUUAGUUUAUUAAUUUUUUUUUAAAUAAUUUUAUAAAAUAUAGUUUAAUUGUACAGAAAUGGAAUUUAAUAAAUUUAUUUUGAAGGUUUUUAUUUUGGAGUACCUUUUGUAUCAGGGUUAAUUAAAUUUUAAAAUUUAUUUUUUUUUCUCGAAAUUUUAGGAUUUAAUUUAUUAUGGUUAAUUAUAUAUUUUAUAAUGUUUUAUAAUUUUAAGUUAGUUUUGAAAUGAAAUUCAUUUAAUUUAUAUCUAGUUUUCUUGGAAAUUAAUUUAAUUAAGAAAUUAAGUUUUAUUAAUUUUUAUUUUUAAUUAAUUAAUAAUUUUAAUUUUUAUUAUAUGAGGGAUAAGCUUCAUUAUAUUUAAUAUAAUUUUUUUAGAUUAUUUAUUUUUUUGUUUAAUUAAAAAUUUUCAAUAAUAAUUUUUAAUAUUUUAAUAAUAAUUAUUUUAAUUUAUUUUUUUACUUGGAUUUGUUUUUUAUUUUUUUUAAAAAUUUAAUUAUGAUUAAAUUAGUAAAAUUAAUAAUUUUAUCUUAUGAACUAGGCAAAAUUAGGUUUUUGAAUGUUUAUCAAAAACAUUUCUUCAUGGUUUUUUUUGAAGUAGUCCCUGCUCUAUGAAAUUAAGUUUUUAAUGGCCGCGGUAUUUUAACUGUGCUAAGGUAGCAUAAUAAUUAGUCUUUUAAUUGAGGUCUAGAAUGAAUGGGUUAACAAAAGAUUUUCUUUAUUAGUUAAAUAAAAUUUUAAUUUAAUUUAAAAGUUAAAAUGCUUUUAUGAUAAUGAGUGACGAUAAGACCCUGUAGAUCUUUAUAAAUUAUUUAUUAAUUUUUUAGGUUUAAAAUUAAUUUAAAUUAAAUAAUUUAUUUAGUUGGGGAGAUUUUUAAAAAAUUAAGCUUUUUAAUUUAUAAACAUUUUUUUAUGAUUUUUUUGAUCCAAGGUUUUAUUGAUUAUUAGAUUAAGAUACCUCAGGGAUAACAGCGUAAUAAAUUUGGGGAGUUCUAAUUUAUAAAUUUGUUUGCGACCUCGAUGUUGAAUUAAAAUUUAUAGGAGGGGUAGAUUUUUCCUUUUUAGGUCUGUUCGACCUUUAAAAUUUUACAUGAUUUGAGUUCAGACCGGCGUGAGCCAGGUUGGUUUCUAUCUUCUUAUAUAUUCUUUUUAGUACGAAAGGACUUAAAGAUUUUAUUAAAAUAAUAUUUAUUUUAUGUUAAAUUAUUAAAU